rnacentral:tmRNA from 1 species
GGGAAUGCAAUGGUUUCGACCUCAUCAAGCCCAUCAGCGAUAGCAUGCGGAGGUUGACCGGUUGGCCUCCUAAAAAGCCGGUCAAGCAACUACAAGGCAAACAAAACGCCAGCUUCAGUCGUUCCCGCGUCGUCAGUGAUGACCUCGUGCUUUCGAAUUGAGGCAAACACGGUCAGGGAAGCGCCCGCUCCGCUCUGACUGCAACCCGGGCACAAACGGAACUCAGCGCCCAUAAAGACUGAGUGGUGGAGGCAAACGGGAAACCGUUAGCCCUGAGAAUGGCCCACUCUGACGGGUCGUAUAAGCAUGUUCGAAGUCGUUGAUUGGAUGGUGUGGGACUCGGGUUCAACUCCCGACAUUUCCACCA